rnacentral:rRNA from 1 species
AGACUCCUACGGGAGGCAGCAGUGGGGAAUAUUGGACAAUGGGCGAAAGCCUGAUCCAGCCAUGCCGCGUGUGUGAAGAAGGUCUUCGGAUUGUAAAGCACUUUAAGUUGGGAGGAAGGGCAGUAAGCUAAUACCUUGCUGUUUUGACGUUACCGACAGAAUAAGCACCGGCUAACUCUGUGCCAGCAGCCGCGGUAAUACAGAGGGUGCAAGCGUUAAUCGGAAUUACUGGGCGUAAAGCGCGCGUAGGUGGUU